UUAUUUUACUUGUAAAAUGGGCCAUAAUAGGUCCCCUUUAAUGUUAUGAAGAGACGAGAAUACUUUGUGUGCAAAAACAAUGACUUUAUUCACCAAUAUGUUCUCUUCUGUGUCAUUCCCAUACAUUGUUUACGUCCAUUGCUUCCAGGAACAAAAGGCUUGUUUGAGAUGAACUACACCAGCCUGCCACUAAGAUCUUCCAGUUGCAAGCUGAGAUGAACAUCAUUCAACAGCAGAAUAAAGAAGCUCCAGCAGAUGCACUCAGGCAAUAUUUGCAGAGGCCGGCACCUGCUGGAGAAAGGACACCUGAUCCUUCAUGUUCUCCUCUCUCUGAACUUUCUGCAGGAGUAGGGACAUCCAAUAGUGAUACUCCAGGGACCAGUGACACACAGGCCAGGAACACACAACCUGCAUCAACUGAGUCUAUUUAAUAGUAUUUAUUCAAGCCACAUCCAUACUUUAAAGUACAACAGAAAAAGGUUAGCAUGUAUUAAAAUACAAUAGCUUGUUUUCUUAAAGAAGUUCAACCACAUUCAUCAUUUCACUCACUGCUUGUCUGGCUAUACAAUAUGCUUGUAUACAGGUGAAGGUGAAGGGACACCCAGGACCACAUCAAGAACUCAGGGCACCAGUGAAAGACAGACGACUGAGACCAGGGACACGCAGCCUGAAGGAAGUUAGUCCUUUGAAUAUGUCACGAAUCCUGUCAGUUCCGGACUACAUUUCCCAUCAUCCCCCCUGUCAAUCACAUGCACUCACUCCACCUAUCACCUGUUGCCACAUCCACCCUAGCACACCACACUGAUCACCACACCCAGCUGCAGCUCAUUAUCAGGACUAUAAAGGACUCACACUCACACCACCAGUUUGCGAAGUCUUGAUUACUACUGUGUCAUUUCUGAGCGUGUAUAUCCUGUCUGCCUGCUGGUUAUCUUUUCUGCCUGUCUCUCGUUUUUGACCCUUUGCUGCCUGUCCUGAUCAUCGCCUGUCCCUUGACUACGACUCUGCCUGUUCCUCACUGUUCCUGUUUGUUCCUGUCUUGACCCUGCCUGUACGACCACUCUUGUUAUUAAUAAAACGCUGCCUGUGA